rnacentral:rRNA from 1 species
CACAGUUUAUACCGUAGCUUGCUACACCAUAGACUGUGAGUUGCGAACGGGUGAGUAACGCGUAGGUAACCUGCCUAUUAGAGGGGGAUAACUAUUGGAAACGAUAGCUAAUACCGCAUAACAGUAUGUAACACAUGUUAGAUGCUUGAAAGAUGCAAUUGCAUCGCUAGUAGAUGGACCUGCGUUGUAUUAGCUAGUAGGUAGGGUAAUGGCCUACCUAGGCGACGAUACAUAGCCGACCUGAGAGGGUGAUCGGCCACACUGGGACUGAGACACGGCCCAGACUCCUACGGGAGGCAGCAGUAGGGAAUCUUCGGCAAUGGGGGGAACCCUGACCGAGCAACGCCGCGUGAGUGAAGAAGGUUUUCGGAUCGUAAAGCUCUGUUGUUAAGGAAGAACGAGUGUGAGAAUGGAAAGUUCAUACUGUGACGGUACUUAACCAGAAAGGGACGGCUAACUACGUGCCAGCAGCCGCGGUAAUACGUAGGUCCCGAGCGUUGUCCGGAUUUAUUGGGCGUAAAGCGAGCGCAGGCGGUUAGAAAAGUCUGAAGUGAAAGGCAGUGGCUCAACCAUUGUAGGCUUUGGAAACUGUUUAACUUGAGUGCAGAAGGGGAGAGUGGAAUUCCAUGUGUAGCG